CGCUUCUUCAGGAACAACAAAACGGCUUCUCUUUCAACCACCUCGGUAGCCUGCUAGACAACAUAAAACUGAAAGAUUGAUUCUUUAGACCAUGUUAUUGUACAUUAGCCAAUCUCAGUGUUUUAAACGCAUUUCUGUUGACUUAUCAUCUGAUGACCUUUAACCUAAUGUUCUUGUUCAAUUUGAAAACGUGUUAAAGAUUGAUACUGAGGUUAGCACUAGGCUAGUCGCUAAUGCUAACUAGCUAGCUAACAUCCCUGACCAUGAGUUCACUAAACUACUCCUCCCCUGCUAAAGAAGAGGUGGUCUGCUGGACGGAAAAAGAAGAUCUGGGACUGAACAUUGUCGUGGAAGAUGAGGCUGUUACAGUGAAAGAAGAGGAGGCUGUUAUAGUGAAAGAAGAGGAGGCUGUUAUAGUGAAAGAAGAGGAGGCUGUUAUAGUGAAAGAAAAGGAGGCUGUUACAGUGAAAGAAGAGGAGUGUGUUACAGUGAAAGAAGAGGAGGCUGUUACAGUGAAAGAAGAGGAGGCUGUUACAGUGAAAGAAGAGGAGGCUGUUACAGUGAAAGAAGAGGAGGCUGUUACAGUGAAAGAAGAGAUAGAACCUUUUAGAGAGGAAGAGGAUGCUAUCUCAGUAAAGGUGAAGGAGGAAGACGUUUUGGGAGUGAAAGAGGAGGAGACAGAAUAUCAGAUUAACACUAGAGAGAGACAUGACUAUCCUGGAUCCUCUGCGGAGUCUCAACAACAUCCUGAUGCUGACGAGGCAGAGAAGAGUCUCUCCAGAUCAGAACACCAGAUGGUACAGCUUGAUCUGGUCUAGCAUACAGCUUGCUCUAUCGAGGGCUGGGCUGGGUUUCUGUAAAACACUUUAUGGCAGCAGUGACAUCAGCAUCCAUAAUGAUAUGUGUCUGUGUCCCCUCUUUAUGGUUACCAGGACAACGCUAACCCUUCCUCCCUCCCGGAGUCCCCGUGUCGUACCUCUCCCGGUAGCACCUUACUGCUGGGUAUGAAGAGGUUGUCUGUGCUGCUGGUGGACUGCAGGAAAACAACGGGGCUGAGUGGAACUGUGGGAGGAGGAGAAGAGAUGAAAGGAUCAGAUUUGACUCAUCAAAGUAAGUGCUGUAGUGUAGUUUGAAAAAAUACAAUAGAUCUGCCCACUGGUAACUGUUACCAGGACAACCAGCAGAGUUCUGUUAGUUGACAGGAAGAUAGACUGGUGGAUAUGGAUGUUAUGAAUAUCAUAACACUGAAAAACGAUUCUGCCAAUGAAAAGAGAGAAACCAAUAGACCAUAUAAAACCUUGAUGAAAGUUAGCUUUAGAGAGGAAGUUUCAAGAUAAUCUGAUGUAAGGUUCAUGUUUUACAAAAAACUUAUCCUUAAAACAUUAUGGAUAUUACAUUGCCUGUCCCAGUCAACCCCCCUAUCUUUACAAGACUGUUGAACAGGCAAACUAAACUCUAGACACUGUUAAUUAAUGAACUAAUACUGAGGAAAGCUGUGAUCAGGCUUAUAGGGAAGGACAUUCAAUAAACACAGCACUUAAAAAUGACUGAUUGGCUGAGAGAAAUUGAUGACAUUAAAAAUAUUGUUGGGGCUGUUUUGUUAGACUUCAGUGCGGCUUUUGACAUUAUCGAUCGUAGUCUGCUGCUGAAAAAAACGUAUGGCUUUACACCCCCAGUUAUGAAAACUUAGGACACUAAAGAGGCCUUUCUACUGAAUCUGGAAACACCAAAAGAAAGAUGCCCAGGGUCCCGUAUGGCUUUACACCCCCUGCUAUAUUGUGGAUAAAGUGUUAAAUAAAAAAAAGCUAACCUUUAUUUAACUAGGCAAGUCAGUUAAGAACAAAUUCUUAUUUUCAAUGACGACCUAGGACUGCCUUGUUCAGGGGCAGAACGACAGAGUUUUACCUUGUCAUCUCGGGGAUAAGAUCCAGCAACCUUUUGGUUACUGGCCUACCGCUCUAACCACUAGGCUACCUGCCGCCCCAGAGCUACCUGUCUAACAGAACACAGAGAAUGUUAUUUAAUGGAAGCCUGUACAACACAAUCAAGGUAGAAUCAGGAAUUCCCAGGGCAGCUGUUUGGCACCUACCUUUUUCAAUCUUUACCAACGACAUGCCAACGACAUUUGAGUAAAGCCAGUGUGUGUCUGUAUGCGGAUGACUCAACACUGUACACGUCAGUUACCACGGAAACUGAAAUGACAGCAACACUUCAGAAUGGGUGGCAAGGAAUAAGUUAGUCCUAAAUAUUUCAGAUUACCUUAAAUUACAUGGCCUACUAUGCAUUAUGGAGUCUUAAAGGAGGCCUGUACCAUCUAAUGAUGAAACAUUAUGGAGUCUUAGAGGACUGUAGCAUCUAAUGAUGAAACAUUAUGGAGUCAACAUUCUGCUGAAAAGGCAGAGCGUGAAAUUCAAAAAUAUUUUUUAGAGAUAUGUAACUUUCAUACCUCCUUUUGUUAACACGUUUGGUAAACAAAUCCAAACUCACGAGGCGCGGGCAAGUCCAGGCGAAAGUUCCGAUGAAAAAUUCAAAAAGAUAUAUUACAAUUCGUAAAAACAUGUCAAACGAUGUGUAGAAUCUAUCUUUAGGAUGUUGUGAACAUAAAUCUUCAACAAUGUUCCAACCAGAGAAUCCUUUGUCUUUAGAAUUGCAAUGGAACGCAGGUCGCUCUCACGUGUAAGCGCGUGAUCAGCUCAUGCUACUCUGGCAGACCUCUGGUUGAAACAGCUCUCAUUCCCCCCUCCUUCACAGUGGAAGCCUCAAACAACGUUCUAAAGACCGUUCUAAUUUUUCUCUGUGUCCACCCUAUCGACAACGGGGAAAUAUUACUGAUGUGCUUUGUGUCUCUCUCCAAUGUAAAACAAUAUCAAAAUGGACAUUCCUGCAGUCAGCAUGCCAAUUGCACGCUCCCUCUGAGACAUCUGUGGCAUUGUUGUGUGACAAAACUGCACAUUUUAGAGUGCCCUUUUAAUUUCCCCUGCACAAGGUGCACCUGUGUAAUAAUCAAGCUGUUCAAUCAGCUUCUUGAUAUGCCGCACCUGUCAGGUGGAUGAAUUAUCUUGGCAGAGAAUACAUGUUAUUUGUUAUAUGUAAAAAAUUCUGCAAUCUUUUUUUCCCAGCUCAUUAAACAUCCAACACUUUACAUGUUGCAUUUAUAAUUUGUUUAUUGCAGUUACUAUCAGUUUUAGGAACAUCUUUCCAAAUUUUUCA
rnacentral:lncRNA from 1 species